UAUUUCGAAUGUUUCAAAAUUAAUUGGAUAAUUAUAUCAGAAUGCCAUUCUUAAGAUAUACUAAAUAUGCCUCGAUUAAUAUUGCAUAUUAUACGUAGGUAUUAUCGUGAUUUUCAACUUUCGACCAUAAAUUAUACCUAAUUAUACACAUGCACUUUAUGUAGGAUCAUAUUCAAUACCCGGAGGAACAAAUGUGCUUGUUAACAUAUUCGGCGUUCACAGAGAUGCCAAUUUCUGGCCGAAUCCCGACGUAUUCGACCCAGAUAGAUUCUUGCCGGAAAAAAUACAAAAUCGCCAUCCUUAUUCAUACCUGCCGUUCAGUGCGGGGCCACGGAAUUGUAUAGGCCAGCGUUUCGCUAUGUUGGAGCUGAAGGCUAUGAUAGCCCCAUUUGUGCGCAAUUUUUACCUGGAGCCAAUCGAUUAUCUAAAGUACGUGCAUAUAAUGCCUGAUUUGGUAUUUCGAUCCAAAUAUCCGAUGCGUAUAAAAUUUGUUCCAAUACAAGUCGUUUGAAGUGUGCUCGGAUUCUACGAAUGGAAGGAGCACAUGCGUAUAUGUAGAAAUUGGAAAAUGGUUGAUUUAACCAUUACAUAUGUAUAAUAUAUAAUUUUUUAUUUUACAUUACAUAUACAUAACAUAUACAUAUACAUAACACGGAAAAAAUAAUUCUGCUAUUGCAGCAAAACUUUUGUAAUAGCGAUAAACUUGAAUUAUACCACUAAAUUAUUCUGCUAUCCAGCAAAUAGUAAUAAAUACUUUUUAAACAAA